rnacentral:rRNA from 1 species
UUGAACGCUGGCGGCAUGCCUUACACAUGCAAGUCGAACGCGAAAGCGGGGCAACCCGCAAGUAGAGUGGCGAACGGGUGAGUAAUACAUCGGAACAUAUCCAGUAGCGGGGGAUAACCUGUCGAAAGAUAGGCUAAUACCGCAUACGACCUACGGGUGAAAGCGGAGGACCGCAAGGCUUCGCACUAUUGGAGUGGCCGAUGUCGGAUUAGCUAGUUGGUGAGGUAAAAGCUCACCAAGGCGACGAUCCGUAGCUGGUCUGAGAGGACGACCAGCCACACUGGAACUGAGACACGGUCCAGACUCCUACGGGAGGCAGCAGUGGGGAAUUUUGGACAAUGGGCGCAAGCCUGAUCCAGCCAUGCCGCGUGAGUGAAGAAGGCCUUCGGGUUGUAAAGCUCUUUCGGUGGGGAAGAAAUGGUACGUGCUAAUACCACGGACUGAUGACGGUACCCGAAGAAGAAGCACCGGCUAACUACGU